rnacentral:lncRNA from 1 species
GAAUGUUGAUUCUGGAAGGAGCAAAAGAUUACCGAACAAAUAUUAUCAUUUUCAAAAUGAAAUUCAAGGCAAUGCAAAUGAAUGAGCACAGAAACAGUCAGCUCUGGAUCAAGCAGAAAUAGCGAUAAUAGUGGACUGUUGAGUCUGGAAGGAGCAAAAGAUUACAAAACAAAUAUUAUUAUAUUUAAAAUGAAGUUCAAGGCAAUGCAAAUGAAUGAGAACAGAAACAAUCACCACUGAAUCAAGCAGAAAUAGCGAUAAUAAUGGGAAAAUAUAUACAACAAGUAUAUUCUCUGAAAAAAUUGUCUUUUGACAUGAAUUAUUUGUUAUUCCUCAGUUGUGACAAUCGUUCCCAUGACCAUUUAGAACUUAGAGUCUAUUCAUUUCAGUUCAAGUAUGAUUACAUUCCCCUUCUACAGUAAGGAAAAAUGUAUGUAUGAUCUGCGGCAUUGUAUCACUCACUCCUCCUCUCUUGUAUGCAGAAUGUUUGAGGCAGAUAAUGUUCGAUUGGAAAAUAUCAUUACUGGACAACCAUCGACUUGUGGCUCAGGAAGGUGCUGCUCUGCUCAGAAUACAGAAUGGAGUCAAUUUCUUCGACCACUGUUACCUCAAACACAUUGGAAUAUGGCAAGGAUGAAAAAACCUGGAGGACUGGGCUGACAUUUCCAUAACAAUCGAUCGUUUCAUUUUUGACUUCUCCACCAAAUAAAUUGAAGAUGAUCUGACCGCGUUUGGUGUGUAGUACAUCCUGACUUACAUUCUUGAACAUGUCAAGGCACAAAUCUAUCAUAGGAUUCCUGUGAUGGGCUCCAGCCAGUUUCUCGAGGCCUUUCAUAUACGAUUUGCAGUUCAUGAGCUUCCACUUCUUUUUCACUGGAACAGAAAUUUGAUAACAUUACUCUGUGCUUUCAACGGAGGCCUCAAAGAUUUAUCAGACGAUCCUCUGCUCUUUUACUGUAGAACUGUCUUUCGACUAAAUGCAGAACCUCUACUGUCACUAUCGGUGACAAUUUUCCAUCCCUCUCGACAGGGGCUGACAGGCUCCAAAUUUUCUGGGGAAAAGCCCUGCAGGAAAGAGGAUCAAGGAUCUCCCCUCAGCCAGUCUCUAUCUGCCUCUGGACGUUUAUAUAACAAUAGUAAUGGUGAACACUUAAAGAAACGUUUGUAAGUUUGGCAAUGCGACAGACUUUCGAUCAUAUCUAAUUUUUGAAUGGGAACCUAUAACAUCUCUUUUUAUUGAAUCUCCAGACUUUUUUUCUCUGUGUGAAGUAUUUUCUGGAAAAAAGGAUGAUAUAGGCAUAAAUGAAAUCGAUUUGCGGUAUAAUUUAUAAGUCAAUCAGUACAUAUUGUCAAUUAAGAAAUAAAGCUUUAUUCUAACAAUUGUAGUCAUUCAUUUCUCCACUUUUUGAAGCGAAACUUCCAAUUGACCAUGCAUCGAAACUAUUUUUGAAAUCAUAGCCUAAAUAAAUCCUGCCUAGUAAUUGUAAUAUAAAUUAUGUGCAGCUGUUUCUAAUUAGAUUCUCUUAUGACUCACAACAUUUUUUCU